UAGUUACAUUUUAAUAAAAAUUGGAAAAUAAAAUCAAGGAUUAGUUUAAGCAUCAUUUAGUAUAGAGAAAUUAAAAGUAAUCAGGAUAAGUACCGUAAGGGAAAGGUUAAUAUUUAAAACUAUGGAUAAGCAAAGAUAGGUUCUUGUACCUUUUGUAUCAGGGUUUAUUAAAUUAAAUUAAGCUUAAGGCAGAUUUCCCGAAGUUAAAUGAGUUACGUGAAAAGAUAAUUAUAGUGUGGAAUAACUAUAAAAAACUUUUACAUAGGAAUGAUAUAUUACUCAAGUUUAACGAUAUCUGGUUUCUUGAGAAACAAAUAUAAUUUGAUUCUUAAAGAUUGUUUAUUUACAAUAAAAAAAUUAAGGGUUUAUUUUUACAGGAUUACCUGUAAGAAUGAUAGUUAAAAUUAAAAAUAAUUUUAAAUAAGGUUAGGCUUGAAAGUGGCUAGGCAAGAAGUUUUUAAUAAAUGAUUCUCGGGGGGGAAGCAUUUAGAAGGAAUUUAAGGUCGUACCAAGAUAAUUUGCUAAAUUAUUAAAGCAAUUUUAAUUCUGAUGAAAUUAGUAAAGAAUUUUUGUAAAAUAAAAAUUAAAGAUAAAUUAAACAAAAGGAAUUCGGCAAUUUAACGACCCAACUGUUUAUCAAAAACAUUGUUUUCUGUAGGAAAUAGAAAAUAAGAUCUGCACCCUGCUCUAAGGAAUAAAGAGCCGCGGUAUUUCUGACCGUGCAAAGGUAGCAUAAUAAUUAGCCUUUUAAUUGGUGGCCUGAAUGAAAGAUUCAAUGUGAUCGUGACUGUCUUUCAAUUUAAUUGAAUUGAAUUUGACUUUUCUGUAAAAAGGCAGAGAUAAAAAUUUUAAUAGACGAAAAGACCCUAUAGAUUUUAAUUUAAAAAUUCAAUCAUAGAGUUAAAAUUUGAGUUUAGGUAAUUGAAUUUAUGAAAUUGGCUGGGGCGGCAGAGAAACAAUAAAAGCUUUCUUUAUAUAUUUAAAUAUAUAUUAAUAGUUAUUUGACCCAAUAUAGUUUGUUAAAAAGAAUAAAAUACCUUAGGGAUAACAGCGUGAUUUUUUUUGAGAGUUCAUAUCGAUAAAAGAGAUUGCGACCUCGAUGUUGGAUUAAGGAUAAUCUUAGGAGCAGAAACUUAAAGAUUAGGUCUGUUCGACCUUUAAAACCUUACAUGAUCUGAGUUCAGACCGGCGUGAGCCAGGUCGGUUUCUAUCUUUAAAAUAUUGUAAAUAAUUUAGUACGAAAGGACCAAUUAUUAUAAAUAAUUUAUUAUUUGGUAAGUAAAUAAUUAAACAAAG
rnacentral:rRNA from 1 species